rnacentral:rRNA from 1 species
GACGAACGCUGGCGGCGUGCCUAAUACAUGCAAGUAGAACGCUGAAGGAGGAGCUUGCUUCUCUGGAUGAGUUGCGAACGGGUGAGUAACGCGUAGGUAACCUGCCUGGUAGCGGGGGAUAACUAUUGGAAACGAUAGCUAAUACCGCAUAAUAGCAGUUGUUGCAUGACAACUGUUUGAAAGGUGCAAUUGCACCACUACCAGAUGGACCUGCGUUGUAUUAGCUAGUUGGUGGGGUAACGGCUCACCAAGGCGACGAUACAUAGCCGACCUGAGAGGGGGAUCGGCCAAACUGGGACUGGGACACGGCCCAGGCUCCUACGGGAGGCAGCAGGAGGGAAUCUUCGGCAAUGGACGGAAGUCUGACCGAGCAACGCCGCGGGAGUGAAGAAGGUUGUCGGAUCGUAAAGCUCUGUUGUAAGGGAAGAAAGAGGGUGAGAGUGGAAAGUUCACACUGUGACGGUAUCUUACCAGAAAGGGACGGCUAACUACGUG